ACGCUCGACACCUACGGGGGGCAGCAGUGGGGAAUAUUGCACAAUGGGGGAAACCCUGAUGCAGCGACGCCGCGUGAAGGAAGAAGUAUCUCGGUAUGUAAACUUCUAUCAGCAGGGAAGAAAGUGACGGUACCUGACUAAGAAGCCCCGGNUAACUACGUGCCAACAGCCGCGGUAAUCUGAGCGGGCUGGCAAGGC
rnacentral:rRNA from 1 species